rnacentral:sRNA from 1 species
GCCAAUCUAUCUAUCGCUGCCAACCUAUCUAUCACUGCCAAUUUAUCUACCACUGUCAAUCUAUCUAUUGCUGCUAAUCUAUCGCUGCUGUCAAUCUAUCUAUCACUGCUAAUCUAUCUAUUGCUGCUAAUCUAUCACUGCUGCCAAUCUAUCCCUCACUGCUAAGCUAUCCCUUGCUGCUAAGCUAUCACUGUCAAUCUAUUGCUGCUAAUCUAUCGCUGCCAACCUAUCUACCGCGGCGAAUCUAUCUAUCACUGUCAAUUUAUCUACCACUGCCAAUCUAUCUAUCACUGCUAAUCUAUCGCUGCUAAUCUAUCACUGCUAAUCUAUCACUGCUAAUCUAUCACUGCCAAUCUAUCUAUCGCUGCCAAUUUAUCUACCACUGCCAAUCUAUCUAUCAAGGCUAAUCUAUUGCUGCUAAUCUAUCACUGCUAAUCUAUCGCUGCUAAUCUAUCACUGCUAAUCUAUCACUGCCAACCUAUCUACCGCGGUGAAUCUAUCUAUCACUAUCAUUACUAGUUCAAAAUAGAACUAGAGCAUAAAGUCACUAAACUUCUUUUGAUAGAUAAUGAUUUUUGGUAACACUCUGUAAUGCACUCGUUUAUUAUUUCCUUAUUAUCUUCGCUUAUUCUUACCUCUUUCCAUUAUACUCUCACUACCACUAUUUCUAUAUGUAUAUAUAUAUCAAUGUAUGU